UAAAGAAGCCAUCCUGGUUUGAAAAAAACUGAUCUUGUCAGAUCUCAGAAGCUAAGCAAGGUCAGGCCUUUUUAGUACUUGGAUGUGAGACUGCUGGGAAUACCAGGUGCCUCAGUGG
rnacentral:rRNA from 1 species